AGAAGAUAUCAGCUCCAUCGAAGGUGGUGGCUUCAAUGAUGAACCUAUCAAGUCUGAGUUGGUCAUGCAAGAGCGUGAUGCUUCUGCUAAUUCAAUCUCUCACACCACCAGUUUUAGCAGAUGGGAAAAAGGGCAACGCAUUGGGGCCUGUGGAUAUGGGAUUAUGUUGCCCACAAAAGGGAAAUCAGAGAGUUAGUUGCAGUUAGGGAACUUAACGACAUUUGCGAACGCGAACAUGUAGAAUCUAUUAAAAAGGAACGUCUUGUGUAUAUUGGACCCUGCAAAAAUUCUUUAGGUACGGCCGCGAAAUAGUUAAUGAGGUAUCAAGUCAAUUCAAUUAAAAAAA